UACAGAGGUCUCAAGCGUUGUUCGGAUUCAUUGGGCGUAAAGGGUGUGUAGGUGGCGCUGUAAGUCGGGUGUGAAAUUUCGGAGCUUAACUCCGAAACUGCAUUCGAUACUGCGGUGCUUGAGGACUGGAGAGGAGACUGGAAUUCAUGGUGUAGCAGUGAAAUGCGUAGAGAUCAUGAGGAGACCAGUGGCGAAGGCGGGGUCUCUGGACAGUUCCUGACACUGAGACACGAAGGCCAGGGGAGCAAACGGG
rnacentral:rRNA from 1 species